rnacentral:rRNA from 1 species
CACGUAGGGCGCAAGCGUUGUCCGGAAUUAUUGGGCGUAAAGAGCUCGUAGGCGGUCUGUUGCGUCCGCUGUGAAAACUUGGGGCUUAACCCUGAGCUUGCGGUCGAUACGGGCAUGACUGGAGUUCGGCAGGGGAGACUGGAAUUCCUGGUGUAGCGGUGAAAUGCGCAGAUAUCAGGAAGAACACCCGUGGCGAAGGCGGCUCUCUGGGACGGUACUGACGCUGAGACGCGAAAGCGUGGGGAGCGAACAGG